AGAGUUUGAUCAUGGCUCAGGACGAACGCUGGCGGCGUGCUUAACACAUGCAAGUCAAGGGGAAAGUCAUCUUCGGGUGGCGAGUAUACUGGCGGACGGGUGANNNACGCGUAGGUGACCUGCCCUUAAGUUUGGGAUAACCCUGCGAAAGCGGGGCUAAUACCGGAUGUGGUGCAGAUGAUGCAUAUUAUUUGUAUUAAAGUUGCUUGGGGUGACCCGGGUAACGCUUAGGGAUGGGCCUGCGUUCCAUUAGCUAGUUGGUAGGGUAAAGGCCUACCAAGGCGACGAUGGGUAGCUGGUCUGAGAGGACGAUCAGCCACACUGGGACUGAGAUACGGCCCAGACUCCUACGGGAGGCAGCAGUGGGGAAUAUUGCGCAAUGCCCGCAAGGGUGACGCAGCGACGCCGCGUGGGUGAAGAAGCUCUACGGAGUGUAAAGCCCUGUCAGAGGGGAAGAACGGCUUGGAUUCGUAAGGGUUCAGGUGUGACGGUACCCUCAGAGGAAGCUCCGGCUAACUCCGUGCCAGCAGCCGCGGUAAUACGGGGGGAGCAAGCGUUGUCCGGAAUCACUGGGCGUAAAGGGCGCGUAGGCGGGCGAUCGAGUCAGAUGUAAAAGGCAACGGCUCAACCGUUGUAUGUCAUCUGAUACUGAUUGUCUUGAGUUCGAGAGAGGGUGGUGGAAUUCCCGGUGUAGCGGUGAAAUGCGUAGAUAUCGGGAAGAACACCUGAUGCGAAGGCGGCCACCUGGUUCGAUACUGACGCUGAGGCGCGAAAGCGUGGGGAGCAAACAGGAUUAGAUACCCUAGUAGUCC
rnacentral:rRNA from 1 species